GGGGAAUAUUGCACAAUGGGCGCAAGCCUGAUGCAGCGACGCCGCGUGGGGGAUGACGGCCUUCGGGUUGUAAACUCCUUUCGCUAGGGACGAAGCUUUUGUGACGGUACCUAGAUAAGAAGCACCGGCUAACUACGUGCCAGCAGCCGCGGUAAUACGUAGGGUGCGAGCGUUGUCCGGAAUUACUGGGCGUAAAGGGCUCGUAGGUGGUUUGUCGCGUCGUCUGUGAAAUUCCGGGGCUUAACUCCGGGCGUGCAGGCGAUACGGGCAUAACUUGAGUACUGUAGGGGUAACUGGAAUUCCUGGUGUAGCGGUGAAAUGCGCAGAUAUCAGGAGGAACACCGAUGGCGAAGGCGGGUUACUGGGCAGUUACUGACGCUGAGGAGCGAAAGCAUGGGUAGCGAACAGGAUUAGAUACCCUGGUAGUCCAUGCCGUAAACGGUGGGCGCUAGGUGUGAGGGUCUUUUCACGACUUUCGUGCCGUAGCUAACGCAUUAAGCGCCCCGCCUGGGGAGUACGGCCGCAAGGCUA
rnacentral:rRNA from 1 species